rnacentral:ncRNA from 1 species
UAUAGGUGCUCCUUUCCAGGAAAGGGGCUGAAAAGGGAAGCGGGUGUGAUUCCCGCGCAAGUCCGUUGCUGUGAAUACGGAGCGAGCUCCAAAAACCACUGGGAAACCGGGAAGGUGGAGUGUUGCAGAGAUGUAUGAGCCAGAAUACCUGCCUAUAU